GCUCCAGAGUACAGACACAUACCCUUCAACAACUACAUGCACCUGGGUGCUCUUCUGCAAGUGUCUGUUUUUUUGGUUCUCUAUGCUGAAUAUUCUUGAGGCAAAUUACCAAUACAAAAAAAAUAAUUAAAAGUAAACUUUGGAUUUAUUGAUGACAUGGUGUUGUUCCAAAGGUUGGUUGGUGUGUGUGUGUGUGUGUGUGGCUGUGAGAGAGGGGUGAUAUCUUAAUUGCAGCACUUUGGCAUGUACAGUUAAAAAAAAUUCCGAUCAGUGUGUUAUUUUAACCGGUCAUGAGUAUUCCCCCACAGCUCCUGGAGGGACAACAAUGACGUGGACUAGGCCUCACUCAGAUAGGCUGUUCCACAUUACUAGGUCUCACUUAGAUAGGCUGUUCCACAUUACUAGCUUAACCACCACAUAAGUUAGCUGGAUGAUGAUUUAACAAAAAAUAUGUGCCACGUUUUAAAUCCAUGAAAAUUUUAAACCUUUAAAAAAAAAAAAAAAAGAAUAAUAUAAACCACCUACAAUAAAAAUCCCACAGCACAUAUAGACAGAUAUAGACCAGAAACGAUUGGCCAUCUCUGAACUAAUAACUAGGAGUCAGUUACCUUUAUAUUCCCGUUCAAGUUAAAAGCAACCACCCAGCCAGAAUCUCCCUGAUGUGGGGACGUUAGCAUUAGGAGUAGCAUUUCAGACCGUUUGUGGUCAUGCUCUCUCUUUUAAACAUACUGAACAACUCUCCAUUUCUCGAGCACAUUAUAACGGCCAUAGUUUAUUCUUUUUGCAACAUAUGACUUUUCACUAGUCGUCUCAUUUCCUACAAAUAUUUGAAGAGAUCGCUAUAUUCUAUGUCAGUGGUUAACUGAAGAGGAGUCAUGUGCAGAUUUUUCAAACCCCCUACUAAACAUUUCAAAGCCAAAUUUGGAAAUAAGCUUAACAAUGAUGUUAUCUGAUGAUGAUGGUGGUGUCACUCUCAAAUAUUUUUCAUUUAUUUUUAAUAUAGCUGCAAGGUUUCAAAUAACCUUAGCUUAGUCAUCAUGCUUCAUACCGCAGACCUAUGUAUUUUGCUGAUAUCUAAUACUCAUAACAACAGGUUAUUCAGUUCUAUCCAGUUCAGAUGGUGUACAUUACAAGUAAGACACAAAAGAAAUUGGUGUCUUAGAAAUAGCAACCGGUCUCUUUCUAUGCAUGUAAUGUUUCUAUGUGUAAUUUUGAUCAAUAAUAGCUUUCGGAGAUCACAAGGGGGGGCGAUAUAAAAUCUAGGCCUUCUAUAGUUAUUACUAAGUUACUAAGGUGAUACCAUCCCCGUGCUGCUGCUGGAUGUUUUCGGCAAGUAAAUGAAGCUGACGUUACGGCGGAUAAAUGUAUUGGAGAGUUUUGGGGGAAAGGGCAGAAGAGGCCAUGCUUGGAGGGAUAUGCAGAAGGGGCCAUUUUUGAAGGGAUAU
ensembl:lncRNA